rnacentral:lncRNA from 1 species
UGAAUUCUUUCUUUUUUUUUUCUUUUUUUUCCUGAGGUUCAAUUUGUUGUGUUGGAAUUCCGUUUCGUUUUUGGUCAUGGAUUGUGCAUUUUUCGAGCUUCUUUUUCAGCUAUGCCGUACGUGAAGAAUCCUAGCACGGAUCCUCAGUUUCGGGUCUACUUUUCGAAGGAGUGGUACGAGGCAUUGCGCGUUGCCGUGAGGAAUUUCUUCGAUGAGAUCUUCAAUGGCACUCAUAUCCUUUGGAAUUGCGUGCAUACGCAUAUAGUUGCUAUUUUUUUGCUUUCAAUAGUGCCUCUUAGGCUCUAACUUUUAGAGUAUAGGUGGAUGGUUGGUCCUAAUGAUUUUGGAGCACUUCUAUUAUGUAAAAAGUACAAGAUAUGGAGCUUUCUCUUGCUGCAAUUUGGACGGUCACCAGCCGCAUUGCGGCCAUCCACUUGAUGUCCUGGGAUGCCGACUUUUCUCUGUACUAAACCGAUCGUCUCCGAUUCAAGUCUUGCCAUUGUUAUUGUUGAAAAGAUGGUUGGCCCGUUGGUAGGCGGUGACAAUCUUUCUUUUUUUUUCAUUUUUCUGAUUCUCGUCUUGUGAAUGGAAAAUGCAUGAGUGCUCACUGCGAAUUUAGCAAGAUUUUUCUUAACUAGACCACGCAUUCCUGCCUUAUUGACCAUUAGUUUGGAGAAGAACACUAUCAGCCGUCUCAAAAAGGAAAUUAAGCAGCUAAACAGUAAGUUAGCACAGCUUCAAGCUCUGUUGGAGGAAAAAGAAGCACAAUUAUGCCGAUCGAGGAG